UUUUAGUUUAAAUGAAAUCUGCCAGAGAAGACAAAGACGGGAAGGGAGCCCCCUUUCUGUGACAAGCGCGCUGCGCUCCGCGUCCCCGCGAGCGGGUGGCUUUUGCGGGAGCUUCGGAACCGUUUGCUGCGGUCCAUGUCGCCCGUCCCCCGCGUCCCGGUGAGACCGGGCUGCGUAGCCAGCAACCGAACGGCAUCUCCAGAGAAAACCAUUAAAAAUGCAGCUUCCCGUGGAAAAGACAGCCACGCCCGUGUCUACUUAUGUUUUACUGUUGAGUUUUAGAAUGUUGGCAUUCUUGCUAUUGUAAGGCUUUUAAAAAAGGGGGCGGGGGGACCACUGCCCGAGGUGUUGUAAAUGUAAUGAUCGGUAUUUAUGCCCUGGCCCUUCCUUCACUAUAGGUUUGUUCAGUUCCCCAAUAUCUCAGCAGGCGUCUUCGUUUUAUAUUUCCAUUGGCUUUUCUGUUGUAAUAAUAAGAAAAGUAGUUGCCAGGAGUGCAAAAAGAAGUGACAGCUUUGAUAUUUCCUGUGUGCCCACUUUUGCAUCAUUGUGGCUAAAUACUUUUAGCUGAUUCUUUUAAGUUCCUAAUGAGCUGUAAUUGUAGCCCUGGAAUGAAUACAAGUACAUUUCUAGCUUACAUAUGGACUGAACUUCAAAAAUGGUCAAAGUGGAUUAUCAGCCUUCUCUUUCUGUGGACAGAUCACCUGCCUUCUUAGAAUCUGUUUAAUUGUGUGUAAAGUGGAGUACCUAUCUCAAGAUUUUUCUGAGAGAAAUAGAUCCCAAAGGAAGACUUCCAUUUGGUAAUUUAAUCAGUGCAAGUGAAAUUAAAGAAUAAUGGAUGUAGAAAAUGAGCAGAUACUGAAUGUAAAUUCUACAGAUCCUGAUAACUUAAGUGACUCUCUGUUUUCUGGCGAUGAAGAAAAUGCUGGGACUGAGGAUAUAAAGAAUGAGAUAAAUGGAAAUUGGAUUUCAGCAUCCUCCAUUAAUGAAGCUAAAAUUAAUGCCAAGGCAAAAAGGCGCCUACGGAAAAACUCAUCCCGGGACUCUGGCAGAGGCGAUUCAGUUAGUGAUAAUGGAAGCGAAGCCAUUAGAAGUGGAGUAACUGUACCAACCAGUCCAAAGGGAA